rnacentral:rRNA from 1 species
CCAAUAGCGUAUAUUAAAGUUGUUGCAGUUAAAAAGCUCGCAGUUGAAUUUUGGGUCUGGCCGGGCGGUCCGCCCUCCGGGUGAGCACUGUUCCGACGCCGGACCUAUCCUUCUGGUGAGUCGGCAUGUCCUUUAUUGGGUGUGUCGGGGAACCAGGACCAUUACCUUGAAAAAAUUAGAGUGUUCAAAGCAGGCGUAUGCUCGGAUACAUUAGCAUGGAAUAAUGAAAUAGGACGCGUGGUGCUAUGUUGUUGGUUUCUAGAACCGCCGUAAUGACUAAUAGGGAUAGUUGGGGGCAUUAGUAUUCAAUUGUCAGAGGUGAAAUUCUUGGAUUUAUUGAAGACUAACUUCUGCGAAAGCAUUUGCCAAGGAUGUUUUCAUUAAUCAAGAACGAAAGUUAGGGGAUCGAAGACGAUCAGAUACCGUCGUAGUCUUAACCAUAAACUAUGCCGACUAGGAAUCGGGCGAUGUUAUUCUCAUGACUCGCCCGGCGCCUUAUG